rnacentral:rRNA from 1 species
CAGUAGCCGCGGUAAGACAGAGGGUGCGAGCGUUAAUCGGAAUUACUGGGCGUAAAGCGUGCGCAGGCGGUUUUGUAAGACAGGCGUGAAAUCCCCGGGCUCAACCUGGGAAUGGCGCUUGUGACUGCAAAGCUAGAGUGCGGCAGAGGGGGAUGGAAUUCCGCGUGUAGCAGUGAAAUGCGUAGAUAUGCGGAGGAACACCGAUGGCGAAGGCAAUCCCCUGGGCCUGCACUGACGCUCAUGCACGAAAGCGUGGGGAGCAAGCAGGAUUAGAUACCCCUGUAGUCCCUGUCUCUUAUAC